CCUACGGGAGGCAGCAGUGGGGAAUAUUGCACAAUGGGGGAAACCCUGAUGCAGCGACGCCGCGUGAGUGAAGAAGUAAUUCGUUAUGUAAAGCUCUAUCAGCAGGGAAGAAAAUGACGGUACCUGAGUAAGAAGCCACGGCUAACUACGUGCCAGCAGCCGCGGUAAUCCGUAGGGGGCAAGCGUUAUCCGGAUUUACUGGGUGUAAAGGGAGCGUAGACGGCUGUGCAAGUCUGGAGUGAAAGGCGGGGGCUCAACCCCCGGACUGCUCCGGAAACUGUACGGCUGGAGUGCAGGAGAGGUAAGUUGAAUUCCUCGUGUAGCGGUGAAAUGCUUAGAUAUUAGGAGGACCACCAGUGGCGAAGGCGGCUUACUGGACUGUAACUGACGUUGAGGCUCGAAAGCGUGGGGAGCAAACAGGAUUAGAUACCCUUGUAGUC
rnacentral:rRNA from 1 species